AUUGAACGCUGGCGGCAGGCCUAACACAUGCACGUCGAGCGAGCGGCGGACGGGUGAGUAAUGUAUGGGGAUCUGCCUGAUGGAGGGGGAUAACUACUGGAAACGGUAGCUAAUUCCGUAUACCAUCAGAUGAACCCAUAAGGGAUUAGCUAGUCGGUGAGGUAACGUACUACCUGGGCGACGAUCCCUAGCUAGUCUGAGAGGAUGAUCAGCCACGCUGGGAGAGAUACCCGGCCCAGACUCCUACGGGAGGCAGCAGUGGGGAGUAGUGUACAAUGGACGCAAUCCUGAUGCAGCCAUGCCGCGUGUAUGGAGAAGGCCUUCGGGUUGUAAAGUACUUUCCGUCAGGAGGCGUUACCGACAGAAGAAACACCGGCUAACUCCGUGCCAGCAGCCGCGGUAAUAC
rnacentral:rRNA from 1 species